rnacentral:lncRNA from 1 species
GCGGCAGCAGCUGGGCUCGGUGUAAACAAGUCCAGGCGCCUGCGAACCCGGGCCCGGGGGGGACGGCGCCCGCCAGGAGCGCCCCCCACUCCCAGGCCAGCCCACCCCGGCGGACCGGGCCCCGCGCGCCCAGGCGAGGCACUGGGCUCCCUCUGCUCCCCGUGGGCCGCUCCCCGCGUGGGGCCACUGCCCCCGGCCCCCGCCAUGGUGCGGAUUUCAAAGCCCAAGACGUUUCAGGCCUACUUGGAUGAUUGUCACCGGAGGUAUAGCUGUGCCCACUGCCGCGCUCACCUGGCCAACCACGACGACCUCAUCUCCAAGGGUGAACGUGGGCUGCGGGCCAGCCGAGGAGCGGGUGCUGCUGACCGGCCUCCAUGCUGUCGCCGACAUCCACUGCGAGAACUGCAAGACCACUUUGGGCUGGAAAUAUGAACAGGCCUUUGAGAGCAGCCAGAAGUACAAAGAGGGGAAGUACAUCAUUGAACUCAACCACAUGAUCAAAGACAACGGCUGGGACUGACCCCCGCUCCCCCGACGCAUGUGGCUCCAGCCCGGCCUGGCCGCCAGGGAGCGCCACUGGCUUCCCGCCACCCGAAGGGAGCUCUGGACCCUCAGAGCCCCUGCAGAGGACGGAUCUAGCUCCUGUAUAUAUAUUUUAUUGCAUGCACUGUGACCUUGGGGGGAGAACAGAAGGGGGACGACGCCCCCGCACCUCCUGCGAUCUGGCUGGCUUGGAUCUCGUUUUUAACCCGUUCCUGCCCCACCUGCCCUAUAGUUAUGGCCUGUGUUCUGCUCUCCUGGUCCCAGUGCACCGUCUGCUCUGUGAACUCCUCCCACCAGGCCCUUCUUACCCCACGCGUGUCUGUCCCCCUCGUUCUGUAGCGUUUGUACAUAAUAAAACAAUGGAGUGGAGAC